GGGGGCGAUCCGGUUUCGACGGGAGAGCUGAAGUAAAGGUUGCAUGCACGGGAUGCCGUUGGCCCGUUAAAAAACGGCUUAUACAUAAUCGCCAACGAUUAUGAUGUAGCAGUAGCCGCUUAAUUUAAUCGGUUACCGUCCGCCACAUCCAUGUUCGCGGGAAGUGGAUUGGACGUCAUUUAGCGAACUGGUUUCGUUUGCAUGUUCCGGGUAAAUGGAAUGAGAUUUUAAGGAACUGGUUUCGACUUGAUCCUGCUUCUGGGAGUUGGUUGAAAUGAGAUUCAAAUCAGAAGAUAAGCAUGUAGACGCCUUUAACUGAAACCUUUCGGACGGGGGUUCGAUUCCCCCCGCCUCCACUG
rnacentral:tmRNA from 1 species